UACGAAGGGUGCAAGCGUUACUCGGAAUUACUGGGCGUAAAGCGUGCGUAGGUGGUUCGUUAAGUCUGAUGUGAAAGCCCUGGGCUCAACCUGGGAAUGGCAUUGGAAACUGGCGAUCUAGAGUGCGGUAGAGGGUAGUGGAAUUCCCGGUGUAGCAGUGAAAUGCGUAGAGAUCGGGAGGAACAUCUGUGGCGAAGGCGACUGCCUGGACCAGCACUGACACUGAGGCACGAAAGCUAGGGGAGCAAACGGG
rnacentral:rRNA from 1 species